CUAGCGACUUCAGAGUUUGAUCCUGGCUCAGGACGAACGCUGGCGGCGUGCCUAACACAUGCAAGUCGAACGGACGAGGCCCCUUCGGGGACCGAGUUAGUGGCGAACGGGUGAGUAACGCGUGAGCAACCUGCCUUUCAGAGGGGGACAACAGUUGGAAACGACUGCUAAUACCGCAUAACGUAUCGAGGGGGCAUCCCCAUGAUACCAAAGAUUUAUCGCUGAAAGAUGGGCUCGCGUCUGAUUAGAUAGUUGGUGAGGUAACGGCUCACCAAGUCGACGAUCAGUAGCCGGACUGAGAGGUUGAACGGCCACAUUGGGACUGAGAUACGGCCCAG
rnacentral:rRNA from 1 species